UUUCACCUGAAAGACGAGGGACAGAAUUUCUCCUAUUAUGAUUACUAGCCUCUGAUACCUUGUUUAAUUUCACAAAACAAGAAUCACAGACACGAUAUGGUUUGCCAGGAUUAGGAGCUAAGGCUGCUCUUGUUGCCUUUCUGGAACUGCAUGAAUGGCAGUGCACAAGUCCACAAUUAUAGCAGUUAUGCCUCUUUCUCGUGAACCCAAAAGCUUGUCUACAUGAUGAGCACUGUGACUGCUCAGCACCAGAUACCCA
rnacentral:misc_RNA from 1 species